rnacentral:rRNA from 1 species
UACAGAGGUCUCGAGCGUUGUUCGGAUUCAUUGGGCGUAAAGGGUGCGUAGGUGGCGCCGUAAGUCGGGGGUGAAAUCCUGGAGCUCAACUCCAGAACUGCCUUCGAUACUGGAAAGCUCGAGUCCGGGAGAGGUGAGUGGAACUGCGAGUGUAGAGGUGAAAUUCGUAGAUAUUCGCAAGAACACCAGUGGCGAAGGCGGCUCACUGGCCCGGUACUGACGCUGAGGUGCGAAAGCGUGGGGAGCAAACAGG